rnacentral:rRNA from 1 species
UACGUAGGGUGCGAGCGUUAAUCGGAAUUACUGGGCGUAAAGCGUGCGCAGGCGGUUUGCUACGACCGAUGUGAAAUCCCCGGGCUUAACCUGGGAACUGCAUUGGUGACUGGCAGGCUAGAGUAUGGCAGAGGGGGGUAGAAUUCCACGUGUAGCAGUGAAAUGCGUAGAGAUGUGGAGGAACACCGAUGGCGAAGGCAGCCCCCUGGGCUGAGAUUGACGCUCAGGCACGAAAGCGUGGGGAGCAAACAGG